AUAUUUAGCUACCUUUAAUAGCCUAGAGACCCCAGGUUCACCUUGCAAGGCACAUGUAAAGAAUCCAAACAUACAAAAUAAUCAACAAAUUAAGACCACAGGGGACUUUGGCAGUCAAACCAAAAAUAAAUAGCACCGUUACAACUACCACGGAUUGAACACUUUCUCUGUACCUGGCAUUUUAUACAUGUUCACAUCUGAUCUUCACCACAGUCUUGCAAUAGAGCUAUUAUUGCUCAUUUUUGCAGACGAAGAUACCAAAGUUCAGAAUAGGCACAUACUUUGCCCAUUGUUCUGUCAAUAAGUGACCCUCCGAGAAGUGAGAAAUGAGGAUAUUUUGUGAACAAAAUAGUGAAAAUUUAACAUGUAAAAAGAAACAAUCAAGACAUCAGACUAUUACUACUAGAAAAGUUCUUUGUCAUUAGUAUAGGAAGUCCUUAUUAUCCUAGUGUGAUUAGUACUGGAAAUGCCUCCUUAAAGUAAAUCUACUUAAAACAAAGACCAAAUCUCAGCGCAAUUAGUGAAAAAAGGGACUUUUUUGAAAAUAAAACUCAACAUUAUUAAAAUACCUUUAUUCUAUCCUAUAGUGAAUAAAAUUUAUAAGUACAACUAUGGGCUAAUUAUAGGGUGAAUAAAUAAUAAAUCAAGAUGAUUUUUGUGGGCUUAAUUUUUUCUCCACAAUGUGAAGCACCUUACAACAUGCUUUAUUUCAUAUUUGACUUUUAGAGAAUAAUCAAAAAAAGAUGGUUAUCUUUGUAAAAAUAUUUGAGGGCUUCUUUAGUUUUCCCAAGGCUCUCAAUUAAUUCUCUGAUAUUCAAACUAUUCUCUUCUGAAGCAUCAGCACAGUCAUCAUCCCAGCUGAUUUUGCCUCCAUUCGUUUAUUUAAUUCUACAGAUCCUCCUGUGCCAGUUUUACCAACCUCACUUUCUUUCACCUUACACCUUUUGUAAGAUUUGCAAUUUCACUUUGCAACAGAACUGACUGUAUUUGCACUGUUUGUAGAGGGGGUUGGGGGGAAGAGGAGUGUGGUGUUAAAAGAUCUCCUUUUUUAAUAAGUGGACUAAUUUGUAAGUGGCCAUAUCAUUAAUAAAAACUUUCAUACAUUAUUAACUUUUGCUUCUCUUACAGUCUUACUAUAGUGGAACAAAGUAUGAACUUGGGAAGCAGCCUGUUUGUAUCAGAGAAAAACAAGAAUGCCAAAGAGAUGGAGACUGGUAACAAGACUCUGAGAGACAGUUUGAACCUGGAAGAAGAUGUAUGUAUCCAUAUAUACAAUGACAUACAUACAUAUAUAUACAUGGACAACUCGAGAGUUGUUUCACGAUUGAUAAAAUUAACAGCAGCUUUAUCAGGAUGCUUAUGUCUCAGACAAAAUAUUCCUUGAGAAUAUAUAUCUCCUCGUUUUCAUUCCCUACGUACCCUCUGCUCAUAAUUUGACUUCCCAUUUGUUUUGCCUCUAGGGAAAGAAUGUGCUGGUUACAACCACAGGAGCCUGGUGCUCAUUGUGACAGUUUGGUUGUUUUUGUCCACACAAAGUCCUUGUAGUUAUACAUGUGUUCCUUUUGAAUUUAGUUAGCAUAGCAUGGGCCUGACUCCCUGGGUGUGUUCAAUUUUGAGACUCUGACAUGUUGAGGUUUCUGGACAUGAUGGAUAAAAAAACAAACAACAAAAUAAGCCCUUUUCUUGGUGAAAUAACCGAAAAUUCUUGGCAUGUACCCUGCUGAUCUCCAGAAAACAUCCCAAUCUUAUCAUUGAUUUUUCAGAAUUCUGUGUGUAUGUUAUAGUUUAAUAACAAUAUCCAUUUUUUAAAUAAAAUGUUAAAACCAACCCUGAAUGUUGAAUUUGCCUUGUGGUGGGUUAUACGAAAGAGGUUAAAGGGAAUACCUGGAGUGCAUUACUGGUAAUGGGCACAUUGCUCUGACUUCAGUAGUCAUUAACAAAAAUUGACUUACCUUAAUGAUAAAGGUAAAGAAUUCAAACAUUCAGCAAAAGUUCACUGUCAGGAAUGUCCUGUCCAGACCUUAGAAUGGUGGACAUUUAGUGCCAUUAUGACCUGUGGUGCAUAAUUCCUGUGGAGAAUAAUGUGUGUAGUCACUUUUCCGGCCUGAGGUACCAGCACUUAGAAGUAUCGAUAUUCUCUAAUGAAGAACAAAAUCAUUAUCAAAAUUCAAUCAGUCCUUCAACAUAUAUUAUGCAAAACAUUCAGCAUAUAUUAUGCAAAACAUUUGGUCAUUUAACAUACAUUAUGCAAAGUGCAUAGGUUGAAAAUAGAAUGGUAAACACAGAUACAUUAUCAAUGUCAGAUAGUAGCACUGUGUCUCAGAAGCUAGAAAAAGCAUUUGAAGUGUUUAGUCCUACUUUCACAGAUUCACUGCUUUCCUCUGCAAUAUUCUUUCUAGGAGAUGCCCAGUUGCUCCAAUGAUGGGGAAAUCCCAGCAAGGACUGGGAUAAACCACUAUGACUGAGUCUCGUUGGCUGAUUUUCCCCAUCUGAGAACAGCAUCACAAGCUAUUCAGGGGUUUCUGGACAACAAUUUUGGAAAAGAGUCCAGUAGAAAAUGGGGAAGGGUUUUAAAUAAUAAAAAGAAUUCCUUUGGCUAUGUAAUCAUAGAAAUGCCAAGGUGUAAAUGUGAAGCUAGUGAGAAAUUAAGUUGCUGGUGUUUUAGGGAUUAUUAUCCUUUGCAGAGUGUGAAGCAUCGUUUGUAGGACUGUGUUAUGUUUCAUCACAGUAAUUUCUGUCAUGACAUGGUGAAUACAGCACAGCAUUGCUAUUAAUAUACUAAAUAUCACUGUCUGUGUUUUACCAGGACAUUUUCAUUUUUCUUUCAAACACGUCAUUUCCAGAGGGUUUGGUACACACUUAAUGGGAUUUAACAGCAGAAUGCAUCUCAGAUUUGGUAAUGGAAAUCAAUGGGAGAAUAAGAUUGAUUUGAUAGAAAGUCUGGACUGCAAACUUUGCUGACAAUGACCAUUCCUUUAAGUGAGGGAUACCUAUUCCACAAGUGUCCAAUGAUGGAUUUUUAUGUGGAUGAUAUAACUGGGUAGUUUGGAAGAUUAAUAACAUCGGCAGCAGUUUUUUGCUGACUUGUUGCUCAUUUGAAUGUCACUGAAUUUUCUUUACCAGAAGGAUGCUUCUGCAUGGUGGAAGAGUCAGCUUUUAAUACUGGUUACUGCUUUUCUCAGAAGUAAGCAUGGCAAAUGCCCUACCUUUCCAUGUAUGCGGUCUAAAUGCUUCUAUAUCUACUUCAGAAUGUUUCACAAUCCUCUCCCAGCUGUCACCAUCUCCCCUUACUGCUCUGCAAUGCUCAGAGAUUGUUCUAAGCAAAGGGGGUCACAUUUUACACAGGUUCAUCACAUUUUGGCC
rnacentral:lncRNA from 1 species